rnacentral:rRNA from 1 species
AGAGUUUGAUCCUGGCUCAGAUUGAACGCUGGCGGCAUGCCUUACACAUGCAAGUCGAACGGCAGCACGGGUGCUUGCACCUGGUGGCGAGUGGCGAACGGGUGAGUAAUAUAUCGGAACGUACCUUAUCGUGGGGGAUAACGCAGCGAAAGCUGCGCUAAUACCGCAUACGCCCUGAGGGGGAAAGCGGGGGACCGUAAGGCCUCGCGCGAUUAGAGCGGCCGAUAUCUGAUUAGCUUGUUGGUGGGGUAAAAGCCCACCAAGGCGACGAUCAGUAGCUGGUCUGAGAGGACGAUCAGCCACACUGGGACUGAGACACGGGCCAGACUCCUACGGGAGGCAGCAGUGGGGAAUUUUGGACAAUGGGGGCAACCCUGAUCCAGCAAUGCCGCGUGAGUGAAGAAGGCCUUCGGGAUGAAAAGCUCUUUUGUCAGGGAAGAAACAGCAGCUCUAACACAGUCUGCGAAUGACGGAACCUGAAGAAUAAGCACCGGCUAACUACGUGCC